UCAGCUUCAUCUACAGACGCUGAAGAAAACACUCCAUCCUCCGCUCUAAUCUUGACAUAGUGGAACACAUCGUUUCUCUGUGUCAUAAAGUAAAGAACAGCUGACAGGGACGAGUCACCAGUCGAGUGACAGACAGAUCAGGACAGGCCGAUGUUGACCAGCUCUUCUGCUGCUCAAAAAGAAACGCAACCAAGAUCAGCUGCUGGACAAGACCGACAUCCAGAUAGUCAACCUGGAGCACAUGGUGGGCUUAGAUGAUAUGAUUUGGUUUUAUUUAAAUUAAAUUAAUGCAUUUAGCAGAUGCUUUUAUCCAGAGCGACUUACAGUGCAUUCAGGCUAUCAAUUUUUACCUAUUUUAUAUUUAAUGGUAUUAAAUGAUACACACUACUAUACUACUAUCGU